AUCCAUCUAACGAGUUCGAAAUAGGACGAAACUCGCGUCGUGGAU
rnacentral:hammerhead_ribozyme from 1 species